rnacentral:lncRNA from 1 species
AUGUUUGAGAUAUAUAAACUGAAUUGAGAGCAUGUUAUUAGUUGUUAUUAAUCAUACAUGUGGGACUUCGAUAAAACAUAAGAGAAAACCAGCGUUCGGGAUCUGGCAUAUGUUGAACUACCUGAUUUAGCCCUAGGGGCCGUUGUAUUUUUAUACUGUUGCAGUAUCCUCAUAGUGAGUAUCCCAGAUAGUUCAGAUUUCAGUUACGCUCGUGUUGGGAUGCCGAGCCGAUUUUUACAGUAGUGUUUACAAUGUUCCGGAUUAGUGGGUGCCGUAGUGGUUGACGGCGGACCCGGAUUUGAUCAUUUCGAUAUCAAAUUGUGCCGAUGACACGUGACUAGGGAUUGGUAGUACUGUUAGACCUAUUUUCUUGACUUUAGCUUGUGAGAGCCUGAUUGAGCUCGACAG